CCUACGGGAGGCAGCAGUGGGGAAUAUUGGACAAUGGGCGAAAGCCUGAUCCAGCAACGCCGCGUGAGGGAUGACGGCCUUCGGGUUGUAAACCUCUUUCAGCAGGGACGAAGCGAAAGUGACGGUACCUGCAGAAGAAGGACCGGCCAACUACGUGCCAGCAGCCGCGGUAAUACGUAGGGUCCGAGCGUUGUCCGGAAUUAUUGGGCGUAAGGGGCUCGUAGGCGGUUUGUCGCGUCGGGAGUGAAAACUCAGGGCUCAACCCUGAGCGUGCUUCCGAUACGGGCAGACUAGAGGUAUUCAGGGGAGAACGGAAUUCCUGGUGUAGCGGUGGAAUGCGCAGAUAUCAGGAGGAACACCGGUGGCGAAGGCGGUUCUCUGGGAAUUACCUGACGCUGAGGAGCGAAAGCAUGGGGAGCGAACAGGAUUAGAUACCCUGGUAGUCCAUGCCGUAAACGUUGGGCGCUAGGUGUGGGGACCUUCACGGUUUCCGUGCCGCAGCUAACGCAUUAAGNGCCCGCCUGGGGAAUCGGCCGCAAGGCUAAGCNAGA
rnacentral:rRNA from 1 species